AUGUGCUGUGUGUGUACUGGAGACUACUGGAGUGUGCAGGAGGUUUUUGUACGGCUGCUUAAUCAGUCUGUAUCACUGUGGUACACUUUUGGUGGAGGAACCAGACUGGCUGUUGGAACUGACAGGCGCCCCAGGCUGACGCUGCUUCCCCCCUCCAGUGUGGAGCUGCAGCAGGGGAAGGCCACCCUGGUGUGCCUGGCCACCAAGGGCUUCCCCUGGGACUGGAGGCUGAGCUGGAAGGUGUCCGGGAGCAGCUUGGAGGGGAGCCAGAGCCCUGCUCUCCUGGAGAAGGACGGCCUCUACAGCUGGAGCAGCAGCCUCACCCUCACCCAGGAGCAGUGGAGGAAGCAGCCAGCCGUCACCUGUGAGGCCACCCAGGGCACCCAGCAAGCCGUCACCCAGGACAUCAACACGGGGGACUGUGCCCAGUAGAGCCGCGGCACACAUACACACGUGCUUA